rnacentral:lncRNA from 1 species
GGCAGAUCACUGUGAGUUUUGAUUUGCCUCCCUAAUAUGUCUAUCAAGAAGUUAGUUGGCUUUGGUGGUAUGUGCUAUUCACUACAUGAUUCUUUUGGUUGUGACUCAAAGUUGGAAAUGUGUGUACAGAUCUGUGGCCCUCCUGCAUCUAUUCAGACCCACAGUGGUCCUGGUUUGUACAUGGAGAACCUGUUCCAAGACCCCCAGAGGAUGCCCACAACUGUGGUUUAUGAGUAGCUGGCUCGCUCGAGCAAGGUGGCACUGCCAUGUUCCUGGAUGCCAACUUUCUGUGACAUGGACUGGAGGCAAGACCAGAAGGUCAGUAGUUUAAAAUUUCUGAAAUUGGCACUUUUAUUAAAAACAAAUUG